rnacentral:misc_RNA from 1 species
AAUCGGAUACGUCUAGCAUGUGCUAGGUAUGGUAAUAAUCUCAUUGUAGAAGAGAACAAGGCCAUGUCAGACUUGUCCAUAUUUGAUGUGUUUUGUAAUGCAGAGUCCUACACAAAUCCAAGCUUAGAUUUGUAUGAUCAAAAACAGUUAUGCCAUUUAUCAACUAAAAUGUUAAGUGAGAUCAUUUAAUGUCCCUCAUUGAUAUUUGUGUCUUUGUGAAGUAUUUUUGUUGAUUGGGAAUGCAAUGAAGUGUGUAGUAAUGUGCAUGGAUUCGUAUUGUGCUACCUUUAUUUUGUCACUUCAUCUCAAAAUAGCAAAAAAAAAAAAAAAGAAAUAAGUUAAAAUCAAAAUUUGUUUGUCAUAACAGAAAAUGGAAGUGAGACAAAUUGCCAUAACUUAUGAUCUAAAUUUGAUUUUCUAGCUGAUACACCCUCUCAAUUUCCGAUCUUUAGAUAAAAUUGUAGUUUCUGAGACUGCAUGCUCCUGCACCUCUUACCAUCCAUCUGUGAUGGCCACUAGUUUGCUGUAGUGCCCUCUAGACUAAGCUUGGGUUUCUGUGUUCCUGCAUCCCCAAUGGAGAUUGAUCCAUGUGGAUGAAUUUUCAUUGUUUUACCGCUGUAUGUUAAUAAAUACAUAUACCUAUUUCACCUAAUUUUUGUAAUGGGUGUGUUAUGCAUUUCACUGCAUUGCUGACUAAUGUAAUUUGAUAAAAAAAGAU